GCUUGGAGACUGUGCAUCCCAUCUUCUAAACCUGAUCUCCAUAAUGCCAGUGCCUUUAGAGUGUACAAUGGAUUGGAACAAUGAGGCUGGAGAGAAACAGAAGGAGGACAGGAAGCAGGACCUGCUGGGGCAACACUAAACCUCACCUACUUUGACCUCACUCAAGGAAGUUUGGAAGACAGGGAGGGGACCAUCACCCCUAUGUGUGCCUCUCCUGUCCACAUUUUGAGUCAUGCUGAAUGCAAUAAACCUUGAAUCAAAGAAUUUUAUUUGACAAUAGACAUCUGAAAUAUUCAAAGUGCCUCUACUUGGAUCCAAAACUCUACUUAUAAGAAAAAUGUAAUGAGCUGGGAUGAUGACUCAGUCAAUAAACACUUGUCACACAAGCCUGAGGACCUCAGUUUAGAUCCCCAGCACCCACAAAACAGCCAGAAGUGUAGCUCCACCUGCAUGAAAUCUCCUUUUGUGGUCUUCUGUGACUUCAAGUCGAUAAUUAUCACUCUCCUGAAGAGCUGCAACCUUGCCUGUUCAUAAAAGCCAAGUGAAACCACCGCCUGCUAUGUACAUAAGGUACAAAAUCAAAUGAAGACCCAAAAGUGAAACUCUCAGAAGCAACAACUUGUGACUAGAACUUCAUCCUUGGACUGCAGCAAUUGUGGAGAAAUAAAUGACGCCAAUCCAGAGCCAAUAAUAUUUGGACUGUAUUAGCCCUUUUAAUGGCCAGUAUUAUUUCUCUGCAUGUGACUUGACAUCUCUCUGUGACUAGCUAGAAUAUCUAUUGUUUUAAGUUAAAAAAAAAAAAAACACCUCACA